UGCACCUAUAAAUAAACCCAACCCUUCGAUGCCGAAUAUGAACACGUCUUCACUGUACGUUUUGAUUAAGCAGCCACCAGGGAGAGAAGGUUCCACAACGCAGGUCCGGCUUGUGAAAUUCAGCGGAAAACGGUACCCAGCAGCACUGUGACGUGUGCCUGCCCCACUAAUUCCCCCAAAGAAGGGCGGUUCUUUACCAAACAGUAACAGUGCCCCGUUUGAAAAACGUCACGGUGCAUUCUGAGUACUAGUUGUGCAGGAGUGGAUAGAUUCUACACUAACAUGGAGCGCCUCUCCCAUCACAACUGCCACCCCUCCCCCCGGAUUGUACUUGAUCUGUUGGGUUGGACGUGGGAAGGAGCCACGGAGGUGGAGGCCCCGGUGUGAGCGCCCCGGUGUGAGCUCCGAGCUCACGGCUUUGCAGCCUGGAUGAGGGUCUCAGCGCAGAUCACCAGAGUCGGUCCCCCGACCCUUCCGUGUCGCCUGGGGGAUGCAGUUUAAUUGAAUAAAGGCUUAGUUGACUCAGCCCCCCGUGGUGAUGCCAGUGAGCUUGGUGCCUCUCAACACUGGCCGCAACACUGGCCGUGCUUUGGCCAAACCAGGAAGUCAGCCGGAGCCUCUGGCGGGUGGGUUGGCAGGCAGCUUGCGGUCUGCUUUUCUAACUUGCUUUCUUGCGAUCACUCCGCUGAGCUGGGAUGAUGUUUCAAUUUAGACUCCUGCGCAGUCAGGGCUCUUUAAGAGCCUCAUUGUCUGGGAGUGGGCGCCCUGCCUGUUACCGUGCUCUCCCCCUGCCUGUCCUCUCUUGGACACCACCGUGACAUUACUCACCGGCCAAGUGAGUUGUUAGUGUCCCCGGGCUGCGCUUGGCAGGCUUCCACUCUCACAGGAGCGGCAGCAGGUUUGCAGGGGAAGAUCUAGGCUCUCGAAAGGCAGGCCUGGUGCCUGUGAGCUUGGAGUCUUGGGGCUCCGUGUGAAUCUGUGUCCAUGGGAGAGCAGCCUCUCACAGCUGGUGCUGAAGAACACUGGAGUUUACAAGCAUCUACUCUCCAACCGUCUACUUACCCAGGCUUCUGCAGCUUUAGAGCAGGUUUGUCAUAUCUCCUGCAUGGAGGAAAAUUGCUUUCUGUAAAUCUUGGUCCAACAGAACAAAAACACCUAUUUCUUUCCAGUUGGGGAGACAGCCAUUCUCAUCGGCAUAAUGAAGGUAUUGUAAGCUGUGACUUUUACAAAGUCUGAGGGAAACCAAUCUGAAAUCUUGACAGAUAUGAUCUUUCCAGGAUGCACUGUUCGUUGACGGCGGUGAGAGACCUCAAUUAAUUUAUGAGCGAGGACAGCAGGAUGUGACCCCUUGUGCAUAGUCUAGGUGGAGCUGUCCCUGUCUGCAUUUAUGUUCUGGUAAUUUAAAAAGAUUUAUAUUAAGCUUUUCUUUCAUUUUGAGAGUAGAUUAAAAUUCUAAUGGAAACCAUUUGUAUGCAUUUGUUGAAUUGAAUAGUAUUUAUGGCUGUGUUAAAAAAACGCUGCAAAAUUCUGCCGAUAAUAAAGUCAGUGAAGCAAGAAUAAGUGUAAAAACA
rnacentral:lncRNA from 1 species